rnacentral:rRNA from 1 species
UACGGGGGGGGCAAGCGUUGUUCGGAAUUACUGGGCGUAAAGGGCUUGUAGGUGGCCAACUAAGUCAGACGUGAAAUCCCUCGGCUUAACCGGGGAACUGCGUCUGAUACUGGAUGGCUGGAGUGUGGGAGAGGGAUGCGGAAUUCCAGGUGUAGCGGUGAAAUGCGUAGAUAUCUGGAGGAACACCGGUGGCGAAGGCGGCAUCCUGGACCAUUACUGACACUGAAAAGCGAAAGCGAGGGGAGCAAACGGG